UACGAAGGGGGGCUAGCGUUGUUCGGAAUUACUGGGCGUAAAGCGCGCGUAGGCGGAUCGCUAAGUCAGGGGUGAAAUCCCAGGGCUCAACCCUGGAACUGCCUUUGAUACUGACGAUCUGGAGAUCGGGAGAGGUUGGUGGAAUUCCGAGUGUAGAGGUGAAAUUCGUAGAUAUUCGGAGGAACACCAGAAGCGAAGGCGGCCAACUGGCCCGAUACUGACGCUGAGGCGCGAAAGCGUGGGUAGCAAACAGG
rnacentral:rRNA from 1 species